rfam:Schistosoma mansoni strain Puerto Rico chromosome 5, complete genome
AUCCUGACGAGUCUCAAACAGGAUGAAACACGCGUCCAGGAU